UGGGGAAUUUUGGACAAUGGGCGCAAGCCUGAUCCAGCAAUGCCGCGUGCAGGAAGAAGGCCUUCGGGUUGUAAACUGCUUUUGUCAGGGAAGAAAUCUUCUGGGUUAAUACCUCGGGAGGAUGACGGUACCUGAAGAAUAAGCACCGGCUAACUACGUGCCAGCAGCCGCGGUAAUACGUAGGGUGCGAGCGUUAAUCGGAAUUACUGGGCGUAAAGCGUGCGCAGGCGGCUUUGCAAGACAGAGGUGAAAUCCCCGGGCUCAACCUGGGAACUGCCUUUGUGACUGCAAGGCUCGAGUACGGCAGAGGGGGAUGGAAUUCCGCGUGUAGCAGUGAAAUGCGUAGAUAUGCGGAGGAACACCAAUGGCGAAGGCAAUCCCCUGGGCCUGUACUGACGCUCAUGCACGAAAGCGUGGGGAGCAAACAGG
rnacentral:rRNA from 1 species